AUUGAACGCUGGCGGAAUGCUUUACACAUGCAAGUCGAACGGCAGCACGGGUGCUUGCACCUGGUGGCGAGUGGCGAACGGGUGAGUAACAUAUCGGAACGUACCCAGUAAUGGGGGAGUAACUAGUCGAAAGAUUAGCUAAUACCGCAUACGCCCUGAGGGGGAAAGCGGGGAUCGUAAGACCUCGCGUUAUUGGAGCGGCCGAUAUCUGAUUAGCUAGUUGGUGGGGUAAAGGCCUACCAAGGCGACGAUCAGUAGCUGGUCUGAGAGGACGACCAGCCACACUGGAACUGAGACACGGUCCAGACUCCUACGGGAGGCAGCAGUGGGGAAUUUUGGACAAUGGGCGCAAGCCUAUCCAGCCAUUCCGCGUGAGUGAAGAAGGCCUC
rnacentral:rRNA from 1 species